rnacentral:rRNA from 1 species
GACGGGGGAUGCAAGCGUUAUCCGGAAUGAUUGGGCGUAAAGCGUCCGCAGGUGGCAGUUCAAGUCUGCUGUCAAAGACCGGGGCUUAACUUCGGAAAGGCAGUGGAAACUGAACAGCUAGAGUAUGGUAGGGGCAGAGGGAAUUCCUGGUGUAGCGGUGAAAUGCGUAGAGAUCAGGAAGAACAUCGGUGGCGAAGGCGCUCUGCUGGACCAUAACUGACACUCAGGGACGAAAGCUAGGGGAGCGAAUGGG